rnacentral:rRNA from 1 species
GACGAACGCUGGCGGCGUGCCUAAUACAUGCAAGUAGAACGCAGUUGCGAACGGGUGAGUAACGUGUAGGUAACUGCCUCAUUGCGGGGGAUUACUAUUGGAAACGAUAGCUAAUACCGCAUACUGUGACAUGGACCUGCGUUGUAUUUGCUUGUUGGUGUGGCAAAGGCUCACCAAGGGGACGAUACAUAGCCGACCUGAGAGGGGAGUCGGCCACACUGGGGCGCAGACACGGGCCAGACUCCUACGGGAGGCAGCGGUAGGGAAACUUCGGCCAUGGGCGGAAGUCUGACCGGGAAACGCGGCGGGAGAGAAGAGGGUUUUCGGAUCGUAAAGCUCUGUUGUUAGAGAAGCGGUAACUAACCAGAAAGGGACGGCUAACUACGUUCCAGCAGCCGCGGUAAUUC